rnacentral:rRNA from 1 species
AUGAACGCUGGCGGCGUGCCUCAUACAUGCAAGUCGAGCGCACAGAUGAGGAGCUUGCUCCUCUGACGUUAGCGGCGGACGGGUGAGUAACACGUGGAUAACCUACCUAUAAGACUGGGAUAACUUCGGGAAACCGGAGCUAAUACCGGAUAAUAUAUUGAACCGCAUGGUUCAAUAGUGAAAGACGGUUUUGCUGUCACUUAUAGAUGGAUCCGCGCCGCAUUAGCUAGUUGGUAAGGUAACGGCUUACCAAGGCAACGAUGCGUAGCCGACCUGAGAGGGUGAUCGGCCACACUGGAACUGAGACACGGUCCAGACUCCUACGGGAGGCAGCAGUAGGGAAUCUUCCGCAAUGGGCGAAAGCCUGACGGAGCAACGCCGCGUGAGUGAUGAAGGUCUUCGGAUCGUAAAACUCUGUUAUUAGGGAAGAACAAAUGUGUAAGUAACUAUGCACGUCUUGACGGUACCUAAUCAGAAAGCCACGGCUAACUACGUG